GCGGCCGUGGAGGGCGCGACUGCGGGAGCCGCCGCCAGUGAGGCAGCCGGGUUGCAAAACUUCACGUGGCUUCCUGCCAACAGGCAGAAGGCGCUGGUCCAGCCAUCCGAUCCAUUCUUCGCCUUCCUAGGAACUUGACCUCGGACAAUUAUUGGAUAGAAAAAAAGCAUUUGAAAACAUUCUUCUGAGAAGUGGUCCCUAAGCUUCACUAAUGGUCAAAGAGUCCUUGGCACAAAAAAGGUUAAGACAUCUGUCCUAGAGGAACAGGUCAAUGUCUUCACCUGUCAAAGUGAAAAGAAAAAUCAAGAAAAAUCAAGGGAGCUACAACGUCUUCAAUAAAUACAUCUGCAAAGACCCUGAAGGCCAGCAUUUUGGGUAACCUCAAAGAGCAAAAAUGAUCAAAUCACGCAAAUGCUGCUGGUACCUCCGACACAGCAUCACCAAAUAUAUUUCUCAUUUUCCCAUAUAUGAGUAAUAAUCACCUCAUAUUGAAAGAGAAGAGAUUUAAGAGGAACAUACUAUUAAUUUUGAAAUUGCCAAAAUAUCAAAUACAAAUGUUCAGUUUAAAAUGGAAA